rnacentral:lncRNA from 1 species
AUACUACUGCUUUUCGUGUGCUCGGCUUUAUCCCUGAGAAGAGGUAAACGUGCUUCCACUUGUUUGCCGCCGCCUCAGAUAGUGUCGAUCCGAUCUGCAGUGGAGAAAGAUCCAGGCCAGCUCUUCAACGCUGUCGUGUGGGCGACACUCACCGCUAGCAUCGUGUCGGCUGUCAGAUUAAAUGGUCGCCAGUUUUGCUCGAGACCACGCCUGUGCAAGCUCAUCUCCUAGCACGAGCUCUAAUAAAAAUGGUUGGAACUUUAGAUAGUGCUCCAGAGGUCAAGAAAUCAAAGAAGAAAUCAAAGAAAAAUAAAGGAUAACUUUCAUCCAAAGAUUAUCUCGUAGAAAAAAAAAAUGAAUGGCUGGAAUUUUAGAUAGCGCUCCAGAGCGCAAGAAAUGAAAGAAGAAAAGAAAAAAGAGAACUUUCGCAUGUUUUAAAUCUUGUGGUGCCCAACUUUCGCAAAAGCUUGUGAUGCCCAACUAAGAAGCAUCAGGACCUCGAGGAGAAGAGCAAUGCUAGAUCUAAAAACCAAAAGAAACAGUUUGGAACUUUAGAUAGUGCUCCAGAGCUCAAGAAUAAAUCACAGAAGAAAACCAAAGGACAAGUUCUCGACUUUCACUUUUGCCACGUCACGUGCCACGCCAGCACCACUAUAUUUCCGCGAAUAUGCUCCCCUAGGGCUCUUAUUCGCUCGCGAAGAGAGAGAGAGAGAGAGAGGGAGAGAGCGAAGAGAGAGAAAAAGGAAGAAAAGAGGGGGAGAGAAGGGGGAGGGACGAGCACCAUACCAUGGCUGUGGAGCUCCAGAUCCAAAGCACUAGUAGCAGCGCUCGCCGCCUCCCCGAUUUCCUCCAGGGCGUCAAUCUCAAGUACGUGAAGCUGGGCUACCACUACCUCAUCACUCACCUCCUCACUCUCCUCCUCGUCCCGCUCCUCCUCGCCGUCCUCCUCGAGGCCACUCGCCUCGGCCCCGACCAGAUCCUCCACCUCUGCCGCCACCUCCAGC